rnacentral:rRNA from 1 species
CCUACGGGAGGCAGCAGUGAGGAAUAUUGGUCAAUGGGCGCAAGCCUGAACCAGCCAUGCCGCGUGCAGGAUGAAGGCCUCUGGGUCGUAAACUGCUUUUCUCAGGGAAUAGGUACCUGAGGAAUAAGCACCGGCUAACUCCGUGCCAGCAGCCGCGGUAAUACGGAGGGUGCGAGCGUUAUCCGGAUUUAUUGGGUUUAAAGGGUGCGCAGGCGGGGCUUUAAGUCAGUGGUGAAAUCUCUUCGCUCAACGAAGGAACUGCCAUUGAUACUGAAGUUCUUGAAUCUAGUUGACGUUAGUGGAAUGUGUCAUGUAGCGGUGAAAUGCUUAGAUAUGACGACACCGAUCGCGAAGGCAGCUAACGAAACUAGAUUGACGCUCAGGCACGACAGCAUGGGGAGCAAACAGGAUUAGAUACCCUUGUAGUC